rnacentral:lncRNA from 1 species
AUUUUCUAUGUUCAGUGGACCAUGAAAUUGGGGUCAAAACUAUAAUUUGGCAUUAAAAUUAGAAAGAUCAUAUCAUGGGGAACAAGUGUACUAAGAUUCAAGUUGAUUGGACUUCAACUUCUUCAAAAACUACCUUGACCAAAAACUUUAACCUGAAGCAGACGGACGAACAGAGGCACAGACAGACGGACGGACGAACGGAGGCACAGACCAGAAAACAUAAUGCCCCUCUACUAUCGUAGGUGGGGCAUAAAAAA